GAACAAAAAUCGAAAGAAAAAAAAAACUCUUCUUCUUCCUUCUUCUCCCCUAUUCAGCACAAAAAAGAAUUCUCUUUUCUUCUCCGUCCUUUCUUCUUCUCGAUUCUCUCUGUUUUUUCUGCUAUUGGUUUUAUUUUGUAGGUGCGGUUUUUGAAGAAGAGACAAAUAACUAAAUCCAGUUCUGUAUUGGUAAACCCUAACUCUUGAGAAGCUGAAAUAUAACCCUAACCCUAACUAAAUAUGUGGAAUCGGAGCUGAAAUUGAUAUGGGUUUGUUGAGAUAAGGGUUAUGGAGAACUAAGAUUGAUGAUUAAGUUAAGAGAACUGAAGAAUUUCAGAAACUAGGGUUUGGUUUUGGGAAGAGCAGCUGAAACUGAUUCUUAUUAAUUCGUUUCCUAGCCCUAAUCUUCAAACGACGUCAACAAAUAAAGAUGUGCAAGAGCAUCAUCCUUCUGACAUUUUCUAUCGAUUUGAUUUCUUUUAAUUUUUCUUUGUACUCUAGGUAUUUGCCAUUGAUUUUUUCCAGACCACAGGAUUUGGAAGUGCAAAUAGACCUUUUUUCGAUGAUUACACAAAUUAUUCAGAUUACCAGGAUGUAGGUGGUGAUGAGUGACGCAGCUGGAUGUCAUGGCACCAUUAACAUGGAUAUGAUCUUUAAGAUGAUGGACCGAAUAAGAUAUGGUUCGGUUUAGUUGUUGUUUGGUUUUCAAGCCACAGCAAAAGCCCCUUCCCGCGGUUCACAGCUACCACCAUCAGCAACACAACACCUUCUUAGGCUAAUACCACCAGUACCUUGCAUUCGCAACACCAUCCAUCACAUGCAGCUGCGUAUCCUUUUGUUGUAUUUUUUUGUGCAGGUGCACAAAUUGAAGAAACGAUAUCGAGAAUCCAGUGAGAACAUAGAUAUUGAUGAACUUCAGCUUUCUCUUUCCAUGUUGCCUUUCAAUCUGGAAUGGAUGUGAACUAAAACCCGAUGAGACAACAUAGACGUGUUAAAGUAAAGAAGAAGAAAAAAUCUAAACUUGCUAGAGAAUGGUGGAGGGAAGCGAAUUCUACUGGUGGUAGUUAGGAGGAUGAGAUAAUUGGUGCAGAGAUGAAGGUAUGAAUGUUGGUAUUAAAAAGAAGAAGAAAAUGGGUUGGAGUAGAAAGUAGUACAGGGGGAUGGAAGUAUUAGUCGAGAUUGGGCAAGUGGAUUAAUCCAUAAAAGUGGCUUGAGGGGGAUUUUGCCGGAAUACAUUUUGGAUUGUCGAUGGAGUUCAACAUUAAGGCACUCUUGACUAUUUUUAUUUGGUAUCAUUGGUUUUACAGGUGAUUUACGCUUUUCUUUAGCACCAUGCAUAUUGUUGUCUCCUUUUUUGCAUCUCUAUGAACUACUGAGAUUCUCAAUUGUCUUUUUUGAAAGUUCUUCCGAUGAAUAUUGCUUUGGCGCCUUGAUAUACGUAUUAGAGGCUGUGAAUGUAAAGGAUUUUAUUAGUCUGUAUCACCUGCUAUUUGGUGGGCAGGCACUAAGAAACUUUUCUAUAUUUGGAUUUGUAUGAUUUGGUUCAUGUUUUCGCAGUUACGGUCUAUGACUUAUUUUUACCUUGGCUACUGCUGAUAAUCCCGGCUUCUUAAUUUUUCAUGGACAUUAGAGUUGGCAGUAGUUGCGAGGGCAAGUUGAAUCAAUGGCAACAUCGUGUUCGGGAUCAGGAUGUGAGGUGACGACAAAAUUUCAGGUUGAGACUGAGUUGGAGUGUGAGAAUCAAGAUACUAUGUGAUUCUGGAAACUUCGGUUUUGGGCGUGACUUCCUGGUGCAUAAGAGUUUCCAGUAUUACAUCACUUCUUGGUUGCUCAUAUUAGAUGAAUACUAAGUCCCCGAGCCUCAUGUUGAAAUGUUUGUCUACCAGGUUUGCCAAUUGAUUAGAUGUAUGUGUGUUCUCAUGGGGAUGUGAAACUCCCAUUCCAGAGAUAUCGUAACUCCUAAUAUCACUUCCCAUGGAGUAUUGUUCAUGAAAAUUGAGGAAAGAGAAACGUAAGGUGAAAACUUCGACAAUCUGAGAUGAGCAUCCAUACGAAGGUGUCAAUACUAAGGUCAUCAAAGACAAUGAUAGGGAAGAGAAGUAAUUUAGGAAAAUUUCUUCUCCUUGACAUCUGGAGAAGAAUGACAAACCAGUUGAUCUAAGGUGUCCAAGGGAUGGAUUAUGUGCCUGAGCUGGUGAUUUAAAUGAUGCACUUGCAUUUUUGUUCACUUAAUCUUUUGAUCUCCGUGAAAGGUAUGUGCUAACUCUUUUAAUGCAGAUGGAUAAUGCUUUAAUUGAUGAUUGGUGGAUCAGUCAGACUGUUUCUAAGCUGUGGUCUCAAUACAGGCGUAAAGAGCAUCAAACUGGUAAAGGUUGAGAUACCACUGCCGACUUUGAUGGUGUUGUAGAUGAUAAAAGUAACAUAGACCUCAUGCAAUGAUUUUUCGUAGGGGGAUGUUGAAUGUGGACGAGCUUCUGAACCUCCAACUAUUAUCCCUGACAAGUUGAAGGAAGAUUGAACGGAUGCGCUACAAGAAGUAUGAAUGGAAGUUCAUGAAUUUUCUUGAGUUUUGGACAAGUGUUGUCUGUGCAUAGAGUUCUGAACCUGACUUCCGGCCCCGGCUUAUCCCUUUGCUCAAUCACAUUGUUGCUCCUUUGGGUACUUUGAUUCCUGGAUUUUUACUGACGAUGAACAACCAUCUAGAUCAAAGCGUACUACGGAUUCCGGUGAUGAUGUCCACGUGGUUUCUGGAAUUGAUGCGUAGUUGCUCAUUAAGAAAUGCACACACUAUGAAAUUUGAAUAACACAUUAGUAGUUUGUUCUUUUCCCUGUUUUUAUAACUUCUGAGGUAGUUCAAUUAGUUAGGACAGCCAAUAUGUUAGAAUGCCAUGUUUCUUAAUGUUUGCACUGUGAAGUGGAACUAUCAUUCAUCUAUUGCAGUCCAAUUAUUCUGCCA